GAUGAACGCUAGCGACAGGCCUAACACAUGCAAGUCGAGGGGCAGCAUUAUUAAAGCUUGCUUUAAUAGAUGGCGACCGGCGCACGGGUGCGUAACGCGUAUGCAACCUACCCAUUACAAGAGGAUAGCCCAGAGAAAUUUGGAUUAAUACUCUAUAGUAUUUACUCUAAGCAUUUAGAGUUUUUUAAAGGAUUCGUUCUGGUAAUGGAUGGGCAUGCGUAUGAUUAGCUAGUUGGUAGGGUAACGGCCUACCAAGGCAAUGAUCAUUAGGGGUUCUGAGAGGAUAGUCCCCCACACUGGUACUGAGACACGGACCAGACUCCUACGGGAGGCAGCAGUGAGGAAUAUUGGUCAAUGGACGCAAGUCUGAACCAGCCAAGUCGCGUGCAGGAAGACUGCCCUAUGGGUUGUAAACUGCUUUUAUAUAGGAAUAAUGUUAGUUACGCGUAACUAUUUGAAUGUACUAUAUGAAUAAGCACCGGCUAACUCCGUGCCAGCAGCCGCGGUAAUACGGAGGGUGCAAGCGUUAUCCGGAUUUAUUGGGUUUAAAGGGUGCGUAGGCGGGUUCAUAAGUCAGUGGUGAAAGUCUGUCGCUUAACGAUAGAAUUGCCAUUGAAACUGUGGAUCUUGAAUACAGUAGAGGUAGGCGGAAUAUAUUGUGUAGCGGUGAAAUGCAUAGAUACGAUAUAGAACACCGAUUGCGAAGGCAGCUUACUAUGCUGAGAUUGACGCUGAUGCACGAAAGCGUGGGUAGCGAACAGG
rnacentral:rRNA from 1 species